ACAUGAAAUAAUUCCAAUUUUAAUGAUAGUAGUGAUUAUUUGUUUUGCCAUUAUUGAGUUUCAUCACAUAAUUCCUCAACCAUAUUAUACUACUACUUCUUCUAAUUAUUAUAUUGCAUCUGAAUUAGAAAAGUGUAUUGAUCGAUGCCGAAAAAAUUUUCCAGAACACACCAUAACUCUGACGUUUUGCAUUACUAGAUGUUAUGAUCAUUAUGGAGUAAAUUAGUAUUGGUAAGUGCCAAUAAUAUAUUUUAAAUAUUUUUUAGUUUAUACUAUUACAUAUGAAUAUUUAGGUUUAAUUAUUCUGUCAAUUUUUAUCGUUUUAUUGAAUUUUUAAUUAAAUUUUUAUAUAUUUUUUAAAAUUUUUAUAUCAUAUCAAAUUUUAUAAUUAAAUCUCUAUUGUAACAAAAAUAUUUUAAAUUAAUGGAAUAUAUGAGAAUCCUGCGAUAUGCAUAGAUGAAGAACAUUUUAAGAAGUGAUUCACAUGCUUAAUUUUAAUUGUUUUAAUGCUUUUUCAAUUUAAUAAUCUUACUUUUUUUUUAUCUUGUCCUGUACUUUAGUUAUAUUUGAGUUUCAACAACUUAAU
rnacentral:lncRNA from 1 species